rnacentral:rRNA from 1 species
GAUGAACGCUGGCGGCGUGCCUAAUACAUGCAAGUCGAGCGAACAGACGAGGAGCUUGCUCCUCUGACGUUAGCGGCGGACGGGUGAGUAACACGUGGAUAACCUACCUAUAAGACUGGGAUAACUUCGGGAAACCGGAGCUAAUACCGGAUAAUAUAUUGAACCGCAUGGUUCAAUAGUGAAAGACGGUUUUGCUGUCACUUAUAGAUGGAUCCGCGCCGCAUUAGCUAGUUGGUAAGGUAACGGCUUACAAAGGCAACGAUGCGUAGCCGACCGGGGAGGGUGGUGGGCAACACGGGAACUGGGAACCGGUCCAGACUCCUCGGGGAGGCAGCAGUGGGGAAUCUUCCGCAAUGGGCGAAAGCCUGACGGAGAAACGCCGCGUGAGUGAUGAAGGUCUUCGGAUCUAAAAACUCUGUUAUUAGGGAAGAACAAAUGUGUAAGUAAAUAUGCACGUCUUGACGGUACCUAAUCAGAAAGCCACGGCUAACUACGUG